rnacentral:rRNA from 1 species
UACGUAGGGGGCAAGCGUUGUCCGGAAUCAUUGGGCGUAAAGCGCGCGUAGGCGGCCCGGUCAGUCCGCUGUGAAAGUCAGGGGCUCAACCCUUGAAAGCGGGUGGAUACUGCCGGGCUGGAGUCCGGAAGAGGCGAGUGGAAUUCCUGGCGUAGCGGUGGAAUGCGCAGAUAUCAGGAGGAACACCAAUAGCGAAGGCAGCUCGCUGGGACGGUACUGACGCUAAGGCGCGAAAGCGUGGGGAGCGAACAGG